ACCUUCCUGUUUCUUCAAGUCCCCUAUCCCUCAAUGCCGGGAGCCUUGGCUUCCGGCUGGGG
rnacentral:miRNA from 14 species